rnacentral:rRNA from 1 species
GCGGGGGGCCUAACACAUGCAGUCGAGCGGUAGCACAGAGAGCUUGCUCUCGGGUGACGAGCGGCGGACGGGUGAGUAAUGUCUGGGAAACUGCCUGAUGGAGGGGGAUAACUACUGGAAACGGUAGCUAAUACCGCAUAACGUCGCAAGACCAAAGUGGGGGACCUUCGGGCCUCAUGCCAUCAGAUGUGCCCAGAUGGGAUUAGCUGGUAGGUGGGGUAACGGCUCACCUAGGCGACGAUCCCUAGCUGGUCUGAGAGGAUGACCAGCCACACUGGAACUGAGACACGGUCCAGACUCCUACGGGAGGCAGCAGUGGGGAAUAUUGCACAAUGGGCGCAAGCCUGAUGCAGCCAUGCCGCGUGUGUGAAGAAGGCCUUCGGGUUGUAAAGCACUUUCAGCGGGGAGGAAGGCGGUGAGGUUAAUAACCUCAUCGAUUGACGUUACCCGCAGAAGAAGCACCGGCUAACUCCGUGCCAGCAGCCGCGGUAAUACGGAGGGUGCAAGCGUUAAUCGGAAUUACUGGGCGUAAAGCGCACGCAGGCGGUCUGUCAAGUCGGAUGUGAAAUCCCCGGGCUCAACCUGGGAACUGCAUUCGAAACUGGCAGGCUAGAGUCUUGUAGAGGGGGGUAGAAUUCCAGGUGUAGCGGUGAAAUGCGUAGAGAUCUGGAGGAAUACCGGUGGCGAAGGCGGCCCCCUGGACAAAGACUGACGCUCAGGUGCGAAAGCGUGGGGAGCAAACAGGAUUAGAUACCCUGGUAGUCCACGCUGUAAACGAUGUCGAUUUGGAGGUUGUGCCCUUGAGGCGUGGCUUCCGGAGCUAACGCGUUAAAUCGACCGCCUGGGGAGUACGGCCGCAAGGUUAAAACUCAAAUGAAUUGACGGGGGCCCGCACAAGCGGUGGAGCAUGUGGUUUAAUUCGAUGCAACGCGAAGAACCUUACCUGGUCUUGACAUCCACAGAACUUAGCAGAGAUGGUUUGGUGCCUUCGGGAACUGUGAGACAGGUGCUGCAUGGCUGUCGUCAGCUCGUGUUGUGAAAUGUUGGGUUAAGUCCCGCAACGAGCGCAACCCUUAUCCUUUGUUGCCAGCGGUUAGGCCGGGAACUCAAAGGAGACUGCCAGUGAUAAACUGGAGGAAGGUGGGGAUGACGUCAAGUCAUCAUGGCCCUUACGACCAGGGCUACACACGUGCUACAAUGGCAUAUACAAAGAGAAGCGACCUCGCGAGAGCAAGCGGACCUCAUAAAGUAUGUCGUAGUCCGGAUUGGAGUCUGCAACUCGACUCCAUGAAGUCGGAAUCGCUAGUAAUCGUAGAUCAGAAUGCUACGGUGAAUACGUUCCCGGGCCUUGUACACACCGCCCGUCACACCAUGGGAGUGGGUUGCAAAAGAAGUAGGUAG